rnacentral:rRNA from 1 species
AUUGAACGCUGGCGGCAUGCUUUACACAUGCAAGUCGAACGGUAACAGGCCUUCGGGUGCUGACGAGUGGCGAACGGGUGAGUAAUGCAUCGGAACGUGCCCAGAGGUGGGGGAUAACGCAGCGAAAGCUGUGCUAAUACCGCAUGUGAUCUGAGGAUGAAAGCGGGGGACCAAGCAGCAAUGUUUGGCCUCGCGCCUCUGGAGCGGCCGAUGUCAGAUUAGGUAGUUGGUGGGGUAAAGGCCUACCAAGCCGACGAUCUGCAGCUGGUCUGAGAGGACGACCAGCCACACUGGGACUGAGACACGGCCCAGACUCCUACGGGAGGCAGCAGUGGGGAAUUUUGGACAAUGGGCGCAAGCCUGAUCCAGCAAUGCCGCGUGCGGGAAGAAGGCCUUCGGGUUGUAAACCGCUUUUGUACGGAACGAAAAGGCUCUGGCUAAUACCUGGGGCUGAUGACGGUACCGUAAGAAUAAGCACCGGCUAACUACGUG